UUCCUGGUGGUUCAGUGGUUAGCACUCUGCACUUUCACUGCUGGGCCCCAGGUUUGAUCCCCGGUCAGGGAA
rnacentral:tRNA from 1 species